CCUUGUCUCAAGUAGAUAAACAGGAUUAUUCACUAAAGUGAUAAUUUAAAGUAAAUUUCAAAUUUAAGGUCAGCUAGUCUGGCCUUAAAUAUUACAUUUGCUUUGAAUUCUCACUUUAGCAAAUAACCCUGGGUGUGUGAUAUACAAAUCCAAAACAGCUGUGCAUCUGAUUUUGCCAUUACAAACCGAGUACAUGUCCGACACGCACAAUUAUUCUAUGGCUCUAUAGCUCCAACAUAUUCUGCAGAAUAGUACAAUACAAUUCAGAUAAUAAAUGAUUACUUGUGAAAUUGAUAAUGCAAGACUGGAAAAUAUUGGUAAACCC